AGAGUUUGAUCCUGGCUCAGGAUGAACGCUAGCGGCAGGCUUAACACAUGCAAGUCGAGGGGCAGCGGGGAGUGGCAACACUCUGCCGGCGACCGGCGCACGGGUGCGUAACGCGUAUGCAACCUACCCGUAACAGGGGUAUAACGGAGAGAAAUUUCCACUAAUCCCCCAUAUUGUCAUGAAUUCGCAUGGAUAUAUGACGAAAGCUUUACUGUGGUUACGGACGGGCAUGCGUGACAUUAGCUAGUUGGCGGGGCAACGGCCCACCAAGGCGACGAUGUCUAGGGGAGCUGAGAGGCUUAUCCCCCACACUGGUACUGAGACACGGACCAGACUCCUACGGGAGGCAGCAGUGAGGAAUAUUGGUCAAUGGGAGGAAUCCUGAACCAGCCAUGCCGCGUGGGGGAAGAAGGUCCUAUGGGUUGUAAACCCCUUUUGUUCCGGAGUAAUAAACCCCUUGCGAGGGGCGAUGAGAGUACGGGACGAAUAAGCAUCGGCUAACUC
rnacentral:rRNA from 1 species